rnacentral:rRNA from 1 species
UACGAAGGGGGCUAGCGUUGUUCGGAUUUACUGGGCGUAAAGCGCACGUAGGCGGAUCGAUCAGUCAGGGGUGAAAUCCCAGAGCUCAACUCUGGAACUGCCUUUGAUACUGUCGAUCUGGAGUAUGGAAGAGGUGAGUGGAAUUCCGAGUGUAGAGGUGGAAUUCGUAGAUAUUCGGAGGAACACCAGUGGCGAAGGCGGCUCACUGGUCCAUUACUGACGCUGAGGGUGCGAAAGCGUGGGGAGCAAACAGG